UCCGGCAUGGUGUAGUGGCUAGCAUUUCCGCCUCUCAUUCGAGUUCAUUAGCUCAAAUCAGGUCGCGGGAGACCGGGGUUCAAUUCCCCGUACCGGAA
rfam:Sclerotinia sclerotiorum 1980 scaffold_1 genomic scaffold, whole genome shotgun sequence.